rnacentral:rRNA from 1 species
GAUGAACGCUAGCUACAGGCUUAACACAUGCAAGUCGAGGGGUAACGAGAGGAAAGCUUGCUUUCCUUGUCGACGACCGGCGCACGGGUGAGUAACGCGUAUCCAACCUGCCCCCAACUAGGGAAUAACCUUGCGAAAGUAAGACUAAUACCCUAUAAUUUCCUCAGAUGUCAUCUGACGAGGAAUAAAGAUUUAUCGGUUGUGGAUGGGGAUGCGUCUGAUUAGCUUGUUGUCGGGGUAACGGCCCACCAAGGCAACGAUCAGUAGGGGUUCUGAGAGGAAGGUCCCCCACAUUGGGACUGAGACACGGUCCAAACGCCUACGGGAGGCAGCAGUGAGGAAUAUUGGUCAAUGGGCGGAAGCCUGAACCAGCCAAGUAGCGUGCAGGACGACGGCCCUAUGGGUUGUAAACUGCUUUUAUACAGGAAUAAAGUUAGCCACGUGUGGUUAUUUGUAGGUACUGUAUGAAUAAGGACCGGCUAAUUCCGUGCCAGCAGCCGCCGUAA